AAAAAAAGACCAUUUGUAUUUAUCUAUUACAAUAAUAGAGCUCAUUUUUAUAAGAUAAUAUAGAGGAUGCAUUAUCAAUGGACAAAGAUUUUAAUGAUUAAAAAUGUGCAGGCAGAAUAGAACAAUAUUUCACUAUUUCCUUUUCUCAGACCAUGCCAUCACCCGACUGGGGUUUAUAAUUACUAUACUAUCUCUUGCCCUGUUUGACCAUCCACCACCCAUCCAGAAACGAUUAUUGGUUGGGUGGCUUGCUUUAUGGGAUUUUUCUUAGCUGCAUCGGGUUUAUCAUGAAUGAUACAAGAUAUACAAUGGAGUCUAUCUAUUAAAUAUAUGAAUUCAACAUAGUUAUAGUCUUUUUUAUUUAGGAAAUUAUUAUCUAGAGUCGAUUUAUCAUGAAUUUAAAACAUAAUAUGUAUGAUGAGAUUU
rnacentral:misc_RNA from 1 species